GGGCCAUUUAUAAAAAUACCCUAAAACUUUUCAACUCUUUACUCCCAAAUUGUUUAGAUGCUUCCAAUGAAACAUCUGGGUCGUGGCCAUGAGAACACCAAACCUGUUUCCCUCCUUUGUCAAGUCUAUGAUGCUGGCCACCGUUGUUUCGAUGAGAAUUACGUCCAAGAACUCGUUGAGAAAGCCAUUGGGUUCGGUUUGUCCAGAUAUUGUUUUGUGCUUUUUUAUGUUUGGGGGGUCUUCUUUUGCCUUUCUUUGAAGCCACAAUCUCUGUGAUCAAAGUGGAAUAGGACAGUUCUGAGAUGGGUAUAUGUAUCCCGGUUGGAUAGGAUUAAAAUUUUUAGAGUAUAUUAUUUGUGCUUCGUGAAUUUUUUUUGUUUAAUUGCUCUAAAUCUAAAACAAAGUUCAGAAUUUUGUUUAAUGG
rnacentral:lncRNA from 1 species